CACGAGGCAUCCAUUUUGAGAGCACGGGGUGUAGCAGCCGUAGGGCAGCUUUGCAGGCAACCAGAAGUGUGAAGAAAAUAAAGCAACUAGAGGUUUUUGCGAAGCUGAUGUGCUCAUUCCGCUUUUAGCCCACUGGUUUCAAAGGGAGGCGCACACGCACUCUUUCCACAUGAUCCAGUCAUGGAUUCAGACCGCAGGCCAAGGCCACAAGCAACAGUGCCCCUGCUACAUCUGCCUCGGCCCCUGGCGGCUGCCUUCCAAGAAGUGCUGGAACAGCGGAAGCAGCUAGCAGCGCGGAUGACUCAACCAAGGCGGAUGAGUGGCAGAACGAGGAUUCAAGGCCAGGUCCGUCCCACUCCUGAGCUGAAGCUCUCAGCCAUCAUGUUAAAUUGAAUCUCAGUCCUCUGCUCCGUGUAUCCAUUUUUAAGUGCUGUGCGUGGUGUGUUCAGCAGAUGGAAACGGCACUGUCGCCCCGUGUAGACCGAAGGCAGGGCCUAGCCGGCAGACAACCUGCUUCCCCAGCUGCUUCUGUCCUGUCUAUGCAGCCUCCCCUCCCCCCGGUUCCUAAAUCACUCCCAGGUCCUUUGUUCUGCCCACAGCUGCUCAGCAAAUUCCUUGAUUUGAAAUUAUGAUCACAGGUUGGAGUGCUACUUAAAAUAAUUUUGCCAAAUGUUCCAUCUCUCUGCAUUGAUGAAUAUAAUGAAUGAAAAUUUAAAGAGGGGGAAAAAAAUUUAAGAAUUCACUUUGUUGAAGACAAAAAAAAAAUGAC